UUUGUUAAGUCUUUUCUGCCAAUAUUUUCUAUGGAUUUUACAUGGGGAAGUUGAACGGUCAUGUUAAGUCUGCAGUUAUAAGCACUUUAUAACAGGAUUUUGGUUCUCGACACCCUGCAGCUUAUCAGGAAACAGUAACUUCUGUAUUGACGUCAUGCAGUAGAAGGGACAGAGUCGUCUCCAUCUGCUGAGGGGACGGAGGUCCUUCCAAGUGGGCAGGACACUGUUAAGGACCUUUUAAGACACUGUGGAGACAUCUGCAGUGUUGUACACCAUGGUCGGC